GCUUACGGCCACACCACCCUGAGCGCGCCCGAUCUCGUCUGAUCUCGGAAAGCAGGGUCGGGCCUGGUUAGUACUUGGAUGGGAGACCGCCUGGGAAUACCAGGUGCCGUAAGCU
rnacentral:rRNA from 1 species